UACAGAGGUCCCAAGCGUUGUUCGGAUUCACUGGGCGUAAAGGGUGCGUAGGUGGUGAGGUAAGUCGGAUGUGAAAGCUCGGAGCUCAACUCCGAAAUGGCAUUGGAAACUACCUUGCUCGAGGGUUGGAGGGGGGACUGGAAUACUUGGUGUAGCAGUGAAAUGCGUAGAUAUCAAGUGGAACACCAGUGGCGAAGGCGAGUCCCUGGACAGAUCCUGACGCUGAGGCACGAAAGCUAGGGGAGCAAACAGG
rnacentral:rRNA from 1 species